CUGGCUCAGGAUGAACGCUGACAGAAUGCUUAACACAUGCAAGUCGAUUCGAUUUACCUUCGGGUAUUGAGGAUGGCGGACGGGUGAGUAACGCGUAAGGAACUUGCCUCUUGGUCUGGGACAACUGUUGGAAACGACAGCUAAUACCGGAUAUUAUGAGAUUCUCGCAUGGGAAACUUAUGAAAGCUAUAUGCGCCAAGAGAGAGCCUUGCGUUCCAUUAGCUAGUUGGUGGGGUAACGGCCCACCAAGGCGACGAUGGAUAGCCGGCCUGAGAGGGUGAACGGCCACAAGGGGACUGAGACACGGCCCUUACUCCUACGGGAGGCAGCAGUGGGGAAUAUUGGACAAUGGGCCACAAGCCUGAUCCAGCAAUUCUGUGUGCACGAUGAAGGUCUUCGGAUUGUAAAGUGCUUUCAGUUGGGAAGAAGAAAGUGACGGUACCAACAGAAGAAGCGACGGCUAAAUACGUGCCAGCAGCCGCGGU
rnacentral:rRNA from 1 species